GACGAACGCUGGCGGCGUGCUUAACACAUGCAAGUCGAACGGAAAGGCCCUGCUUUUGUGGGGUGCUCGAGUGGCGAACGGGUGAGUAACACGUGAGUAACCUGCCCUUGACUUUGGGAUAACUUCAGGAAACUGGGGCUAAUACCGGAUAGGAGCUCCUGCUGCAUGGUGGGGGUUGGAAAGUUUCGGCGGUUGGGGAUGGACUCGCGGCUUAUCAGCUUGUUGGUGGGGUAGUGGCUUACCAAGGCUUUGACGGGUAGCCGGCCUGAGAGGGUGACCGGGCCACAUGGGAAUGGGAGACCGCCCAGAAUCCUACGGGGGGGAGGAGGGGGGAAAUAUUGAACAUGGGCGGAAGGCCGAUGCAGCAACGCCGGGGGGGGGAUUGAGGCCUUUGGGGUUGAAACCGCUUUCGCCUGUGACGAAGCGUGAGUGACGGUAAUGGGUAAAGAAGCACCGGCUAACUACGUG
rnacentral:rRNA from 1 species